rnacentral:rRNA from 1 species
CGGCAACAGCUCAAAUUUGAAAUCUGGCGUAAGCCCGAGUUGUAAUUUGUAGAGGAUGCUUCUGGGUAGCGGCCGGUCUAAGUUCCUUGGAACAGGACGUCAUAGAGGGUGAGAAUCCCGUAUGUGACUGGCUUGCACCCUCCACGUAGCUCCUUCGACGAGUCGAGUUGUUUGGGAAUGCAGCUCUAAAUGGGAGGUAAAUUUCUUCUAAAGCUAAAUACCGGCCAGAGACCGAUAGCGCACAAGUAGAGUGAUCGAAAGAUGAAAAGCACUUUGGAAAGAGAGUUAAAAAGCACGUGAAAUUGUUGAAAGGGAAGCGCCCGCAACCAGACUUUGCGGCGGUGUUCGGCUGGUCUUCUGACCGGUUUACUCGCCGCCGUGAGGCCAUCAUCGUCUGGGACCGCUGGAUAAGACCUGAGGAAUGUAGCUCCCUUCGGGGUGUGUUAUAGCCUCUGGUGAUGCAGCGCGUCUCGGGCGAGGUCCGCGCUUCGGCAAGGAUGAUGGCGUAAUGGUUGUCGGCGGCCCGUCUUGAAACACGGACCAAGGAGUCUAACAUCUAUGCGAGUGUUCGGGUGUCAAACCCCUACGCGUAAUGAAAGUGAACGGAGGUGGGAACUUUUUGUGCACCAUCGACCGAUCCUGAUGUCCUCGGAUGGAUUUGAGUAAGAGCAUAGCUGUUGGGACCCGAAAGAUGGUGAACUAUGCCUGAAUAGGGUGAAGCCAGAGGAAACUCUGG